GAGCAACGGUGAGCACCUCUUUCCAUAUCGCGGAACCCCAAUUUGUGAAGUUCACCGCCUCCCAGAAAUUGAUGCCGAUGUGGAGCCCAAAGAGAAACAGCGACCCAUCCUGACUCUUGUUCAACCCAUCGUAGUUGCCUUGGAGCAAGGAUGAAAUAGGUGCAUCAACUAGGAGGGAAUGGCUUGUAUUACCAGACUGACCAUGGACUCGAAUAAUCGUGGCCAGGACAAGCAAUAGCGGCAAGAUCCAUGUCAGCUUUGACUGCUUUGUUGUACUUGCCAAGCAAGGAAAGCGUAUCUCCAUGGUGCAGGCUCUUCGGUUCUGGCAAAUGUUUGCCAAACUUGUCCAGCUAUAUGGAAGAGAAAAACAACUACUGUAAUAAGGUUUGAUUGACUUGGCCGUUGCACUGACGUUUGCUGCAGAUGCCGGCUUUCAUAUAAUCAUCCUGGUUUCUGACUGGUUGAAUUUGAUCUCUAAGAUCAACUCAUCUUCUCCGGACAGAUCAGUCACUGGAGCAGUGGUGAGUGGUGCAUGAUAUCAAGUCCAAGGCUGCUCUUUUCGGUAUCAUUUCUUUCAUUCAUGUCAACAGGACUUGUAAUUGAGUUGCUCGUGAUAUGGCCGAGUCUGCGAUACAUGAUGCCGGCGUUGUUUUGGUCAGUGAGGUGCCGGAUUUCCUCCGUGCUUGUCUGUACUGAACCAUCUGUGAUGAAUUAAUAAAGCGCCAAUUUCAGCAACUUGCAUUCAUCUAGAGGAGAGAAAUGCAACUUGCCAUGGGGUUCAGUUUGCUCGCCAACCAACGCGUUAUUGGACAAAUGUACUGCUCGUCAGCGUGCAAACGACCAAGUCUGAACUGAAGAACACAUCGAAGAAGAAGAACACGGGGGCUUCCGCCGAGGCCGUUAGGUCGUCGGGGCGGCGUGGCGUCAGUCCAGGGGCCUAGGCUUCAUAACUAAGUUGGGCCCGCCCGCGAGGCCAUGUCCUUUUGCCGGCCACGGGCUUACGCACAACUCCACAAGGGCGUCCACUAAAAAAAAAAAAAAUACACUCCACAAGGGCGCAGCAGAGCAGGUGCUCACCCUCAAGAAAAAAAACACAGGGCAGGCGCUUGCUCUGGCUGUAUGCUGUAGUGCUCCCCCAAUCUUACGGUUCGGGCUCCGUUCCGAGGUGGAGGGGGAGACGGAGGAGGCGCUGCAGCGCGCCGCCGAGUCGAGGAACCGCCCAUGGCGGGCGGACGGGGGCGACGAGGGAUAGAAUCAAGUGCGAUAUGAAGCCGCUGUUCCCAAUUCAAGCUAUAGUCGUCUCCUGCACCAAAACGUCCAAAAUUGGUGUAAGUGCCAUUUGAUGCUCGUAUGUGCAUGCAUUGUAGCAUAAAUUCCCAUGUUUCGUAAUUUUUGCACAUAUGUAAGCUAACGAAUGAUGGUUACACAUGCCAUGAUUAAGCAUAGCAUCGUUUGGUGUAUUAAGAUCUAAACCUUCUUUGGGAGGUCUCUGCUUUUCCUUAUCUUUACCAGAGAAUUUUUGUAGACAAAUCUAGUUAACAAGAGAACCGACCAAGCUAUUGAUUUAUGUACCUCUAUAGCUUCUUUGUUUCUUA